rnacentral:rRNA from 1 species
AGUCAAUAGAUACCCGGGUAGUCCUAGCUGUAAACGGUGCACGUUUGGUGUGGGAGGCAACCCCUUCCGUGCCGAAAGCUAAACGCGAUAAAAACGUGCCGCCUGGGUAGUACGGUCGCAAGACUAAAACUCAAAGAAAUUGACGGGGACCCGCACAAGCGGUGGAGUAUGUGGCUUAAUUCGAUGCAACGCGAAGAACCUUACCAGGGCUUGACAUGUAUUGUAACCCCGGUGAAAGCCGGGCAGCAUGGAAACAUGCGCUUUACACAGGUGCUGCAUGGCUGUCGUCAGCUCGUGUCGUGAGAUGUUGGGUUAAGUCCCGCAACGAGCGCAACCCUUAUGAUUUGUUGCCACCGGUUCAUUCCGAGCACUCAAAUCAGACUGCCCAGAUUAACUGGGAGGAAGGUGGGGAUGACGUCAAGUCCGUAUGGCCCUUACGUCCUGGGCUGCACACGUACUACAAUGUCCAGUACAAAUUGAACCGAUACCGCAAGGUGGAGGAAAUCAACAAAACUGGGCUCAGUUCAGAUUGCAGGCUGC